rnacentral:rRNA from 1 species
UACGAGGGGGGCGAGCGUUGUUCGGAAUUAUUGGGCGUAAAGGGUGCGUAGGCGGCCUGACAAGUCUGAUGUGAAAUCCCUGGGCUCAACCCAGGGCCUGCAUCGGAAACUGUCGGGCUUGAGUAUGGGAGAGGUGAGUGGAAUUUCCGGUGUAGCGGUGAAAUGCGUAGAUAUCGGAAGGAACACCUGUGGCGAAAGCGGCUCACUGGACCAAUUACUGACGCUGAGGCACGAAAGCUAGGGGAGCAAACAGGG